rnacentral:snRNA from 1 species
UUUUCUAUUACUUUUAAUAAGUUAAUAGAUAUCUGAUAUGUGGGCCAUGUGCUCACUUCGAUAUUAAAUUUAUUUUUUGUGGGGGAGAGUUCACCACAGUGGCUUGCCACUAGGAAUCUCUUAUGUCACCUUGGUUUUGCACUAUCUCCAAGGCUGGCGCACCCCAA